ACCCAAUAGAUACCCUGGUAGUCCACGCCGUAAACGAUGAGAACUAGAUGUUGGGAGGGCUUGAAACCUCUUAGUGUCACAGCUAACGCGUUAAGUUCUCCGCCUGGGGAGUACGGCCGCAAGGUUAAAACUCAAAUGAAUUGACGGGGGCCCGCACAAGCGGUGGAGCAUGUGGUUUAAAUUCGAUGCAACGCGAAGAACCUUACCUGCUCUUGACAUCUGCGGAACCUUCCAGAGAUGGGAGGGUGCCUUCGGGAACCGCAAGACAGGUGCUGCAUGGCUGUCGUCAGCUCGUGUCGUGAGAUGUUGGGUUAAGUCCCGUAACGAGCGCAACCCUUGUCCAUAGUUGCCAGCGAGUAAUGUCGGGAACUCUAUGGAGACUGCCGGUGACAAACCGGAGGAA
rnacentral:rRNA from 1 species